rnacentral:rRNA from 1 species
UACAGAGGGUGCGAGCGUUAAUCGGAAUUACUGGGCGUAAAGCGCACGUAGGCGGCUUGGUAUGUCGGGUGUGAAAUCCCCGGGCUCAACCUGGGAGCUGCAUCCGAAACUGCUUUGCUAGAGUAUGGGAGAGGGAAGUGGAAUUUCCGGUGUAGCGGUGAAAUGCGUAGAUAUCGGGAGGAACAUCAGUGGCGAAGGCGGCCAUCUGGACCAACACUGACACUGAGGCACAAAAGCGUGGGUAGCAAACAGG